CAUUUAGCUCUAUAUUAUAUUAUAGUACAGUGAUGGCGAACCUUUUUGAGCAUGAGUGCCCAAACCGCAGUACAUGCCAACUUUUUUUCCCUCAAAGUGCCAGCACGGCAAUUAAACCUGAAUACUGAGGUUUAACUUUAGAAAAAAACAACUUGUACCGUUGUCCGAACUAAUUCUCCUAUUCUUUCCCCCCCAAGAUCUCCCUUCUCUACUCACAGCAUAUUCCCCUCUCUCCCCAGCAUCUCCUCUCCCCUUCUCCCCCCAGCACCUCCUUCUCCUCUCCCCUCCCCAGAUUCUCCUCCUCCUCUCCCCUUCUCCCUCCAGCAUCUCCUCCUCUCCCCUUCUCCCCCCAGAAUCUCCUCCCGAUUCUCCUCUUCCUCUCCCUUUCUCCCCCCAGCAUCUGUUCCUCCCCUUCUCCCCAGCAUCUCCUCCUCCUCCUCUCCCCCAGCUUUUCCUCUUCUCUCCCCGCAGCAUCUCCUCUUCUCUCCCCUAGUGCUGGGUGUUCUGUGUGUGUGGGGGGGUGCUGUGUGCGAGAGGGGUGCUGGGUGAGGGGGAGGAGGUGCUGGGUGCUCUGUAUGAGAGGGGUGCUGUUGGGGGGGCUGCUGUGUGUGUUGGUGGUGGGGGGGAGUGCUGCAAAUAUUUUUAUUAAAAUCUGUAUUCCCCCCCCCCUUCUGCUUACCUUAUGUGAAGGAGGGGGGACACACAAAUCCCUGGUGGUCCGGUGGUGGUAAGAGGGACAGGCCCUGCAGCUCUCCCGUCCUCCCGUCUGUGCAAUGCUGUGUGGAGCGUUGCCAUGGUAACGCGCAACAACGCUCCACACAGCCUGCUCGCGGGAGCAGAGUAGGCGCCUGCCGUUUUGGGCAGGCAGGUGCCUACUCUGCAUUGAUGGCGAGCUAUGGCCGCGUGCCCACAGAGAGGGCCCGGCAUGCCACCUGCGGCAUGCGUGCCAUAGGUUCGCCCUCACUGUUAUAGUAUGUCAUAUAGCUCUAAAUUAUAUUAUAGUAUGUCAUUUAGCUCUAUAUUAUAUUACUAUAGUAUGUGAUAUAGCUCUAUAUAUCUCAUAUAGCUCUAUAUUAUAGUAUGUCAUAUAGCUCUAUAUUAUAGUAUGUCAUAUAGCUCUAUAUUAUAUUAUUAUAGUAUGUCGUAUAGCACUAUAUUAUAUUAUAGUAUGUUAUAU